GCAAGUCGUGCGGGAUUAUUUAGCUUGCUAAAUAUGAGAGCGUCGAACGAGUGAGUAACAAGUGAGUACCCUGCCCUAUAGUUGGGGAUAGCCCUCCUAACGGAGGAUUAAUACCGAAUAUUGUUUGAUGAUUCAUGUCAUCGUAAAGAAAGGCUUCGGGCGCUAUAGGAUGGACUCGCUCAAGAUUAGCUAGUGGGUGAGGUAAGAGCUCACCAAGGCAACGAUCUUUAGCCGGCCUGAGAGGGUGAUC
rnacentral:rRNA from 1 species